GAUGAACGCUGGCGGCGUGCCUAAUACAUGCAAGUCGAGCGAAUGGAUUAAGAGCUUGCUCUUAUGAAGUUAGCGGCGGACGGGUGAGUAACACGUGGGUAACCUGCCCAUAAGACUGGGAUAACUCCGGGAAACCGGGGCUAAUACCGGAUAACAUUUUGAACCGCAUGGUUCGAAAUUGAAAGGCGGCUUCGGCUGUCACUUAUGGAUGGACCCGCGUCGCAUUAGCUAGUUGGUGAGGUAACGGCUCACCAAGGCAACGAUGCGUAGCCGAACUGAGGGGGUGAUCGGCCACACUGAGACGGAGAACCGGCCCAGACUCCUACGGGAGGCAGCAGUAGGGAAUCUUCCGCAAUGGACGAAAGUCUGACGGAGCAACGCCGCGUGAGUGAUGAAGGCUUUCGGGUCGUAAAACUCUGUUGUUAGGGAAGAACAAGUGCUAGUUGAAUAAGCUGGCACCUUGACGGUACCUAACCAAAAAGCCACGGCUAACUACGUACCAGCCGCCGCCGUAA
rnacentral:rRNA from 1 species